GUGCCAGCAGCCGCGGUAACACGUAGGCACCAAGCGUUGUCCGGAUUUAUUGGGCGUAAAGAGCUCGUAGGCGGUUCAGUAAGUCGGGUGUGAAAACUCUGGGCUUAACCCAGAGCCGCCAUCCGAUACUGCUGAACUUGAGUACGGUAGGGGAGUGGGGAAUUCCUGGUGUAGCGGUGAAAUGCGCAGAUAUCAGGAGGAACACCGGUGGCGAAGGCGCCACUCUGGGCCGAAACUGACGCUGAGGAGCGAAAGCGUGGGUAGCAAACAGGAUUAGAUACCCCGGUAGUCC
rnacentral:rRNA from 1 species